AGCCCGGAUGUUAAAACAAACUGUGGAGCUGCUGUUUGUCGAGCAUGAAUGAGGCUGAAUACACCUGCGAAGGUUUCACCACUUCGUUCACAACAUGAGACGCAGAGACUUUGUCCAUAAUCUCUGAGGCAUUGUCCGCGAUCACAGAGACGUAGUCCACGAUGAGUCCAGGACAGAGGCCUCCAGGUGUCACCAAAUCGUCAACGACAUCGUCCACGAUCGCAGAGACAUGGUCCAUCAUCGGAGAGACAUUGUUGAGGAUGAGGGAGACAUCGUCCACGAUCGGAGACAUUGUCCAUGACUCAUGGUGACUUGGUCCCCGAUUAGUCGGCAUUGCCGGCGUUCAGAGACAUUGUAGAUGAUCGCAGAGACUUUGUCCAUAAUCUCAGAGACAUUGUCCGCGAUCGCAGAGUCUUUGUGCAAUGAAGACGUUCUGUGAGACCAGGACAGAGGCCUCCAGAUUUCCUCCAAGUGUCAGCACUUCAUCCAUGACAUCGUCUAUGAUCGCCGAGACGACGUCUUCGAUCGGAGAGACAUUGUUGAGGAUGAGGGAGACA